CUUCUGGAUCUCUUCAUCCAGUGGGACUGGUCAACCUACCUUGCGGACUAUGGUCAGCCCACCUGCAAGUACCUCCGGGUAAACCCCGUGACAGCGCUGACCCUGCUUGAGAAGAUGAAGGACACGAGCCGCAAGAACAACAUGUUUGCACAGUUUCGGAAAAACGAGCGAGACAAGCAGAAAUUGAUUGACACUGUGGCCAAGCAACUCCGGGGACUCAUCAGCAGCCACCACUCGUGAAGGCUGGCCUCGGGCCGACAGAGGCCGCUUGCUGCAGCCCCGGAUCCCGGGAGCCAGCGCUGGCUGGCCCUGCAUUUGUGCAUUCUUCUUCAAAGAGAGCAGAUGUAUUUUUUUAAUAACCCAUGUACAGUAUUCGCAUAACCCUUCCCUUGAGUAACAGAGGCGCGAGAGUCAGCAAGUCCAUGAGAGGUUGCUAGGCUGGGAUUCAGGCAAAGUUACAGCACACUGUCUGUCCCUUCCUAGGGAUGGUCGUGUCACCUGUCCCAGUAUGACCAGCCACCUUUCAUCCGUGGCUCUAGAGCUUAGGUCUGGGCUCAGGAACUACACAAACAAAAUGGGUGCUUGGCACUGGGAGGGAGGUGAGUAGGCAGGAAGUACAUCCUGUUGGCUCCUAGGUGCCCCAUUCACUGCAGAGGGGAGGCCGAUUCUUCUUGACACAAAGAAAGAGCCUGGAAAACAGUUCUGUUUAGCGUAGGAAAGACCAGCGCCCAGUUCCCAAGUUGUGAGGUUCAGCUCCUCAGUGCACUGACUUUCACUGAUCAGGGAACAAGUGUGGCAUGUGGCAAGAUGAUGGCUUCACCCCAAUACCCCUCGCCCCCAUCCCGCUGGGGAUGGCAUUUUUUAGCCUCGAUCUGACCCAGUGCUUUUACUUCUAGUUUUUCUGGGCCAAAGAAGAGCUGAGUGUGCAGUGGGAAUAAUCGGACCUCAUGACUAACUGUAGGUGCCCCCCACACCAGGAGGAGUUUUACUGGAUCUGGAGAGCCAGUGUGAAUGGAAUCAGAGCCCCAGUUCCUUCCCCCUUCCUCUCCUUGUCUUCUUUCAGGGUCAGGGCACUUGGUUCAGGGCCUAAGUCAGCAGUUAUUUCCAUAGACAGAGUCUCAGACGUGCCCUCCUCCAGCAGCGUCACCUGGGAUAGUCAGAUUCCAGAAGCCUGAAAAUGGUCCUUACUUUACCCUUAGGCGAAAUCUGAAGAUGACUUGGGAUUGUUCCUUUGUGUUUUAAAACCAGCUUUCUGGCCCCCAUCAUUAGAGGAAAUGGCACCAGCUCUGUACUGUGGGGACAGCCGUAACUGGACUGGAUGCCUCUAGGGGUGGAACCACUGUCACCGUGAAAUACAGCAGGUCGACCAUGGCUAGUGGUUUCUUUCCUCUGGCCCAGCUGUCCUUCGCUGAGUCAUAUCCUGGAAAAGAAGCUCUUCUUGCUCAAGCCUGACGCUUCCAUCCCCUUUUGAGGUCCCCAUAGCUGUCUUGUGGCUUCACCUGAGAAAAAUCACCUGUUAUCCCAUCCCUCCAGCUCUGGAGUUUGCAAAAGGAGCCUGGCCCCGUUAGCUCGGAAGCUGUGUCCACUCUCUGAAAUGGGCUCCCAAGACCUAAUGCAAGGGCUUUGCUGGGAGGUCAGACAGAGAAACCUGCCCUUUAAAACACUUCAGGAAGAUGCUACUAAGGCUACUGGCAAGCGUAUAAUUGUGGAUCACCAAACUAUGACAAAUAAGCCACACAGGCAUUUCCAGCUUGGAUUAGUGGGAGGAAAGACUCAUCAAACAGAAUUCUUCACCACCUUUGUCAGCAACUGAGUUGCUUCUGGGGAAGGCAGUGUUUCCUUUUUCACAACCCUCCCCCCCAAAAAAAAAAAUAUUGUACCACAGCUUGGAAACCGUGGGGAAGAAAACAUGCACUCAGACGUGCAGGUUCCCUCAAAGCUGGAGAGGCCAGGCUGCAUGUGGGCUCUGCAGAAGCCUCCCGAGCCUCGUCCUAAGGGCUAGACAGUCGGCCCAGGGCCUUAGCUUGAGGCUCAGAGAUGUAGGGCUGCCACCCAGAGCCUCGAUAGCCAUGGGGAGGCAGGGAGCCAUGGGAAUAAGACCCCAAGUGCCAUCCCUCCCGCUCGAGACUUUAUUAGAAAAGAGCAAGAAGAGUCACUCUCAUCCUAUUGCUUAAGAAGGGACCCGAACACCCUCUUGCACUGGACCGCAGUUGGAACAAGGUCUCUUCAGGUUUGAGUGCUGAGACUUUGAAGUGGAACUGGGAGAACCUUAAGCAGGUCACAUGGUUUUUUUAAGCAUUGUCAUUGCUGCUCUUUUCUCAAACCCGAACCCUGGAAACACUGUGCUAUAGAAGAGAAGGUGGAUGGGGGGAGAGGAAAGAGGGUAGCCUGCCCCUUGCACACACAAGUCCUUCUGCCAAAAAGGCUUAUCCAAGCUCAAGGCUCCUGGGUGGAUAUUUGUUAGAUCCCUCUCCCCUCUUGGUCUGCCUUCAGUCUUCCCAAACAGAACCAACAUGCAGCCACUGCGCUGUCUGUGGAGACAUGCUGUUUGAAUUGGUGAAGUCGGAUUUUUCAGUUUUGUCUCGAGGCCUCUAGCUGGGCCAGCCCUUGAGAGGACUUGUGCAAAGCAUGGGUGCCCAGACUCCUAAGAUCUGGCCUCAAAAUGCCCAGAGAUGUACAAGUGCCCCGGAGGUCUCUUAGAAGGGCCAGAACGUGGUGCCCAGGAGACUUCCAGUCCUCUAGUUGGCCAAGUUCUUGGCGAAAUCAGGUCCUUAUUCCUGGAGGGACAGUCCAGCUGGGGACCCUAGUGGGUUUCAGUCAUAGUUUAGGCAGCUGGCUUGGUUUCAACCUAUUUCGUAGCGCAGUCCCUUUGAGGAGAGUGUGCCUGGAGCUCUUGGGCCUGGGGAAGAGCAGGCCCUCAAAAGUGGGGGCAGCGGCGCAUCCCUGUUGGUAAAGGGACUAUACAGUUUCCGGGCAGCAGUUGCCAGUAUUUUCAUCGUGUCCCAGGCCUCCUCCGCGUCAGCCUAGCUUCCCUGCACACUUGACAAGUGCUUGUUCAGCAGAUCCCAGACCCAGGGCCCUUUACCCAGGAUUGGCAUUGGCUGUGGCUUUCCCUGUAAGGCCUCUGAGCACCCUCCCUGGGGCCUUCUCCCAGGACUCUGCACCUGGCUGCCUCCGUUGCCUCUCUCUCUUUCUUUUUUUUUUUCCCCGCCUGGGUGUGCAGUUACUUUUCACUAAUGUGUUCGAAAUGGCCUUUUUUAUUUUGCACAUGUCUGGGGGAAAUUUCAGAAAGUCCAUUUUUAACUCUAAAGGGAACCUUCUUCUUUAAAGCUCACCAGUAAAGCUACUGAUACCGAUGGGCCUGGCAAUGAGUAGAAAACCUCCUCUGUGAAAAGAGCAUGUUUAUCCUCCUGUACGUUUGCCUCUUUUAAUUGCUAUUAAAUGACACAGCCUAUAUAUCUGUUCAAAAGCCA
rnacentral:lncRNA from 1 species